rnacentral:rRNA from 1 species
AACGAACGCUGGCGGCAUGCCUAACACAUGCAAGUCGAACGAGACCUUCGGGUCUAGUGGCGCACGGGUGCGUAACGCGUGGGAAUCUGCCCUUGGGUUCGGGAUAACAGUUGGAAACGACUGCUAAUACCGGAUGAUGACUUCGGUCCAAAGAUUUAUCGCCCAGGGAUGAGCCCGCGUCGGAUUAGCUAGUUGGUGAGGUAAGAGCUCACCAAGGCGACGAUCCGUAGCUGGUCUGAGAGGAUGAUCAGCCACACUGGGACUGAGACACGGCCCAGACUCCUACGGGAGGCAGCAGUGGGGAAUAUUGGACAAUGGGCGAAAGCCUGAUCCAGCAAUGCCGCGUGAGUGAUGAAGGCCUUAGGGUUGUAAAGCUCUUUUACCCGGGAUGAUAAUGACAGUACCGGGAGAGUAAGCCCCGGCUAACUCCGU